rnacentral:rRNA from 1 species
AGACCCGAAACCCGGUGAUCUAGCCAUGGGCAGGUUGAAGGUUGGGUAACACUAACUGGAGGACCGAACCGACUAAUGUUGAAAAAUUAGCGGAUGACCUGUGGCUGGGGGUGAAAGGCCAAUCAAACCGGGAGAUAGCUGGUUCUCCCCGAAAGCUAUUUAGGUAGCGCCUCGUGAAUUCAUCUCCGGGGGUAGAGCACUGUUUCGGCUAGGGGGCCAUCCCGGCUUACCAACCCGAUGCAAACUGCGAAUACCGGAGAAUGUUAUCACGGGAGACACACGGCGGGUGCUAACGUCCGUCGUGAAGAGGGAAACAACCCAGACCGCCAGCUAAGGUCCCAAAGUCAUGGUUAAGUGGGAAACGAUGUGGGAAGGCCCAGACAGCCAGGAUGUUGGCUUAGAAGCAGCCAUCAUUUAAAGAAAGCGUAAUAGCUCACUGGUCGAGUCGGCCUGCGCGGAAGAUGUAACGGGGCUAAACCAUGCACCGAAGCUGCGGCAGCGACACUCAGGUGUUGUUGGGUAGGGGAGCGUUCUGUAAGCCUGCGAAGGUGGCCUGUGAGGGUUGCUGGA